AUAGCGGGAAAACUUGCCAGCUUUGCCUUUGAGAUAUUCUACUUGAUUCGAAGUAGUUUGCUGAAGAAUCAUAGCCAACGAUCAUUUUAGCAUCAUGGCUGAUCCUUCUGUUGGCUCAUCGUCCCCGAAUUGGGCAAGUCUUAUCUCAAAUGAGAUCAUACCUACCUUUGUAGAAGAGAAUCCGCAAAGUACUGUGCAAGCCUCGGCUAGU